UACACUCCUGCGGGAGGCAGCAGUGGGGAAUAUUGGACAAUGGGCGCAAGCCUGAUCCAGCCAUGCCGCGUGAGUGAUGAAGGCCCUUGGGUUGUAAAGCUCUUUCACCGGUGAAGAUAAUGACGGUAACCGGAGAAGAAGCCCCGGCUAACUUCGUGCCAGCAGCCGCGGUAAUACGAAGGGGGCUAGCGUUGUUCGGAUUUACUGGGCGUAAAGCGCACGUAGGCGGACUAUUAAGUCAGGGGUGAAAUCCCGGGGCUCAACCCCGGAACUGCCUUUGAUACUGGUAGUCUUGAGUUCGAGAGAGGUGAGUGGAAUUCCGAGUGUAGAGGUGAAAUUCGUAGAUAUUCGGAGGAACACCAGUGGCGAAGGCGGCUCACUGGCUCGAUACUGACGCUGAGGUGCGAAAGCGUGGGGAGCAAACAGGAUUAGAAACCCCAGUAGUCCCAUGAU
rnacentral:rRNA from 1 species